UGUCCUCUACGGUUCCCGGCAGCGCACUCUUACAUAUUGCCUUGUUCCUAUGAACGACCCGGGUCGGCUCCACGCCGCCAUUGUGCAAGUCCGCCACGAGCGGAAAGCCUGCAGGCGACGUCGGCCCUCCCACCUGAUCCUCAGGAUCAAGGUCGUUUGAUGCGCACCGGCUCCUGUGGAGGACAU
rnacentral:other from 3 species